GCACUGUCAAGCAUGUGCAAGCUUGGCCAGCUGACAGCCACUCAGUUGUGCUCUGAAUAUUGCUGCUAGAAGCACCUCCAGACCUCACUGGGUUUGCUCAGAAGACAGCUAAGAUCCUAUGUGUGACCCACAAGGGGAAUGUGAAGAAAAGAAAACAACUACUCUGCUUUGGUGACACUCAACCUAGAGUACUCUGUCCACCUCUGGAGUCCUCAUUAUAGGAAAGAUACAGAGCUGUUGGACAGGGUCCAGAGGGGGCCACAGAUAUGAUCAGAGGGAUGGAACAUCUCUUCUAUGAGGAACGGCUGAGAGAGUUGGGGUCGUUCAGCCUGAAGGCUCUGAGAAGACCUUAUUGCAGCCUUUCGGAACUUAAAAGAGGCCUGUAAGAAAAAUGGAGAGAGACUUUUCAAAAGGGCCUGCUGUGAUAGGAUGAGGGGUGAUGGUUUUAAACUAAAAGAGAGGUGAUUCAGGCUGGUUGUGAAGAAGAAAUUUUUUACAUAGAACUUCAAGAAAAUGUCAACAUAGUUUCAGAAAUGUCAGUGACAAAUCCGUCUCAUCUCUAUUAAAGUUACUGCAGGAACACAGAGAAAUCCAUGCAUUUGUCUUGAAGUCUCACAACCCUUCCAUGUGAAUGUUCCAAUUAGGAACCAUGACAUCCUGUUUCUUUUUUAAAUACCCUAGUUGUAAAAGGACAACAAAUACUAUUUACCAGUGGUUAAGCAAGAGAAUGUCGUUGUUUAAACAUGGAAAUGAAAUUUAAAGUUCUGCAUUCAAUUAUGUUUGGGGUUGCCUCUCAUUUGGAGUUAAACCUGGAUAUUUAAAAAAAAUGUGGCUCCAGUAUUGUUUCUCUUUUUGUGAAAU